CUGGUUGAUCCUGGCGGAGGGCAUUGCUAUCGGGGUCCGACUUAGCCAUGGUAGUUGGACGAGUUUAGACUCGUAGCAAAUAGCUCCGUAACACGUGGGCAAACUACCCUACAGAGAACCAUACCCUCGGGAAACUGAGGGUAAUAGUUCAUACCCGUCUCAGGGUGGAAUGGCGAGACGUGCAAAUGGUCCGACGCUGUAGGACGUGGCUGCGGCCGAUUAGGUAGACGGGGGGGUAACGGCCCACCGUGCCGAUAAUCGGUACGGGUUGGGAGAGCAAGAGCCCGGAGACGGAAUCUGAGACAAGAUUCCGGGCCCUACGGGGCGCAGCAGGGGCGAAACCUUUACACUGGACGCAAGUGCGAUAAGGGGACCCCAAGUGGGAGGGCAUAUAGUCCUCGCUUUUCCCGACUGGAAGGGGGGCGGGGAAUAAGGGCUGGGCAAGACCGGUGGCAGCCGCCGCGGUAAUACCGGCAGCCCAAGUGAUGACCGAUAUUAGUGGGGCUAAAGCGUCCGGAGCGGGCCACGAAGGGCCAUCGGGAAAUCCGCCAGUUAAGCUGGGGGGCGGUCGGUGGGAACCACGUGGCUUGGGGACGGAAGGGUCCNAGGGGGACGUCCUGGGGGGUAGGGAGUGAAAUCCUGGAAAUCCUGGACGGGACCACCGGAUGGCGAAA
rnacentral:rRNA from 1 species